rnacentral:rRNA from 1 species
AUUGAACGCUGGCGGCAGGCCUAACACAUGCAAGUCGAGCGGAUGAGGAAAGCUUGCUUUUCGAUUCAGCGGCGGACGGGUGAGUAAUGCCUAGGAAUCUGCCUGUUAGUGGGGGAUAACUCGGGGAAACUCGGGCUAAUACCGCAUAUGUCCUACGGGAGAAAGUGGGGGAUCUUCGGACCUCACGCUAACAGAUGAGCCUAGGUCGGAUUAGCUAGUAGGUGAGGUAAUGGCUCACCUAGGCGACGAUCCGUAACUGGUCUGAGAGGAUGAUCAGUCACACUGGAACUGAGACACGGUCCAGACUCCUACGAGAGGCAGCAGUGGGGAAUAUUGGACAAUGGGCGAAAGCCUGAUCCAGCCAUGCCGCGUGUGUGAAGAAGGUCUUCGGAUUGUAAAGCACUUUAAGUUGGGAGGAAGGGUAUUCACCUAAUACGUGGGUACUUUGACGUUACCAACAGAAUAAGCACCGGCUAACUCUGUGCCAGCAGCCGCCGUAAGAC